rnacentral:rRNA from 1 species
UACGAAGGGGGCUAGCGUUGUUCGGAAUUACUGGGCGUAAAGCGCGCGCAGGCGGUUCUUCAAGUCAGAGGUGAAAGCCCAGAGCUCAACUCUGGGAUGGCCUUUGAGACUAGAGAACUUGGGUACGGGAGAGGUGAGUGGAAUUCCGAGUGUAGAGGUGAAAUUCGUAGAUAUUCGGAAGAACACCAGUGGCGAAGGCGGCUCACUGGCCCGUUACCGACGCUCAGGCGCGACAGCGUGGGGAGCAACAGG